AUUUGUAUUAGUCUGUUCUCAUGCUACUAAUAAAGACAUACCUGAGACUGGGUAAUUUACAAAGGAAAGAGGUUUAAUGGCCUCAGUUUCACAGGGCUGGGAAGACCUCACAGUCAUGGCUGAAGAUCAAGGAAGAGCAAAGGGACAUCUUACAUGGCAUCAGGGCAGAGAGUUUAUGCAGGGGAACUCUGAUUUAUAAAACCAUCAGAUCCCAUGAGACUUAUUCACUACCAUAAGAACAGUAUGAGGGAAACCAUACACAUGAUUCAAUUAUCUCCACCCAGUCCCACCCCUGAUACUUGAGGAUUAUUAAAAUUCAAGGUGAGAUUUGGGUGGGGACACAGCCAAACCAUAUCACUAUUGUAGUACUAAACACACGAUUUUACAUUUUUGUUUCCCCUACUAGCCUGGGAGCUCCUUGAUGGCAACAACCUUGUUUUAUUCAUUUUUAUAAUCAUAAAGCCUUAAUGAUCAUGGGCAUUGGAGGAAUCAAGGGAGUGAAUGGUAGUAGAAGAGCAACUCAUCCCAGUGCCCUCGAUUUAUAAACAGAAUUUCAACCAAAUGUGGAUCCUAAGCCAAGUGACAAAGUAAAGAUUUCCUUUCCAUGGAUCUUCUAAUUGCCCCAAAAAGGCGGCCCCUGGGAACACUGCAGAUUUUCAGCAUUCAAGGUUUCCUGGUGAAGACCUUAGAUUCAGCUGAGGAGGGUACAGAGCAACAAAUGGUAGAUGAAUUCAAAUGCUGGAUGAGAGGAAGUCAAACUGGAAAGCCUACUAUCGCCAAAUGGUCAAGGACACAGGCAUUGGGUAAGUUCUGGGUCUUCAUUCCAGCUCUGCCAGUGACCAGCUGUACGUACUACAUCUCCCAGGAGGGAAAGCUGCAUUGUGGUUGUGUUGUGAUAGUGCAUGAAUAGCAUUGAGCUCAGCACAUGGCAGAAGGGCGUGCUGUGUGGAUGUUAGUUUCUGUUCAGUUUGCCAACUACACAUGAUUCUGUUUUGUUUCAACUAUCCGGCUUUGCUUUACUGACUUGGAAGAAACAGCAGAUUUCUAUUCCCUUUUGCAAAUCUUUUAGCACUUAAACAUUGUCAUUCACAUAGUUGUUACAUCGAUGACAAAGCAAGCCUGAGCCCUGCUUGAGCAAGGUCUGUUCCUGGGGAAAUCGCCUGUCUGUUUCCACUCUGCCUCAUCUGCCAUAUUUUAGUUGUUAAUUGGAGAUGGAAAUGUUUCCAAGUUUUCUUCUUCCCUAGGUAUUGAUCUUUUGGGUGAACAUAAACCUUAACCCCUUAAGCUUUAUCACCAUGCUUUCUCUACCUUAUCAAUUCUAAUGGAUUUAGCAUGCUUUAUCGGUAUUUAGAUCUUGAUUUUCUUUCU
rnacentral:lncRNA from 1 species